rnacentral:lncRNA from 1 species
AAGAACAGUCAAAUGGUGAGAGUGCAAAACCUCGAAAAGUUGGCAGCACUCCAUCAUAUGGUUUCACCUUCAAGUGUGACGAGAGAUCUGAAAAAAGAAGAGAGGUAACACUGUCUUUAGCUGUUUUAUUUGCUGAUUGCAUUUUGAAAUAUGCUUUUGCCAACUUUGUUUACCCAAUUCUGCAAUCAAACAGUUCUAUUCGAAGCUUGAGGAGAAGAUUCAAGCAAGAGAGUUAGAAAUAAGCAAUUUGCAAGAGAAAUCAAAGGUACCCUUAUGUUCCUUUCUUUUGGGAAAUGCUGCCUUCCAACAUCACAUCUCUUAUGUUGCUUGCUGAUAUAUUUCUGUAAAAUGCACAGGAAACUGAAGAAGCAGAACUCAAAAUGUUGAGAAAGAGUUUGAAUUUCAAGGCAACACCAAUGCCAAGCUUCUAUAAGGAACCAACUCCUGCCAAGGUUGAAUUGAAAAAGGUAACUUAGUGAUCAUGUCAUGGCUAGCUACAGUAUCUUAUACUUUGAGUGAACUCAUGACUGACAUGCCUUAUGAGCAUGUGUGGAAUCAUCACUCAUACAGUGUAAAUUCCAUCAGUUUUAGUCACCAACAGCCUUUCCUGCCUUUUCGGAAUAUAUAUUUCACACAAUCAUUUUAAAAGAGGAGGUGAAGUUGAAACUACCAUAUAGUUUAGCUGGAACCUGGAAGCCUUAUUUUUUUUCUGAUGUAAAAACCUGGUAUCUGAGUGGAGAUUGUAACCGCAGUUGGUACUUUGUUUUUCUCUAUUUAUGACUUUAUAUUGUCAUCAUUCUUUGGUGUUUUGCUGAUAUGAUUGUUUAGUCCACAUAUUGCAUUUAAAAUUAGCCAAGCAUUGCACCAGAAAACCUUGUCAAAAAUGGAUGAGGAGCCAAAUUAUACUCAGCAACUACCAGGCUUGCAUAACAGACUAGAUACUCAAAUGUAUCUUACGAAUUUAGUUUUGAUAUGUGUAGUAGAAGCUAACGGGCCUGCUAUCUUACUGAUUAGCAGGGCUCAAGUAGCACUCAAGGUCCUGGGUUCGACCCCCUUUGUCGGCUGUGGUCCUGAGUUAUAUGUGUAACCACCUUAGUUGCUUUCAGCGAGAGUGCGCAUGGACACAAGCAUGUGUACUGGGCACUCGGUGGCAUGUCUAUGGCAGCCGCAGCCGCAGCCGCUCUUUGGGUUGUUUUUCUGUCUGAGCACGAGAAGCUUCUUAAAUCUUAAAGCAAUGCCGUGGUGGGGCAGUUUUUCCUCUGCAUGUCUUUUUGAUAUGUGUAGUAGAAGAGUCUUUCUUUUGUCUACAUGCACAUAUACUACUGGACAAAUAUGGAGUUUGUAUUUCAAACAAAUCUCAUGUGUUUCGGCAUUGAUAUUUGUUGUAGACCCCCCCAACCAGAGCUAAAUCACCAAAGCUUGGUCGUUCUAAAAACAAGUCCACACCAGAGACUGAAGAAAAUACUACUAUGGACCAAUCUGCCCGUCUGAGCCUUGAGGAAAAGGUUUCUCAAAAUGGUGUGAAAAAAUCAACCCCGUUGAAUUCAGCAAAGAAGCCCCAGAGGAAGUCACUCCCCAGACUGCCAUCUGAAGAAACUGGUCCGCUCGAUGCCACCUCAAGGCAGCUAAAGAACACCAAACUGAAUGCAGUUAAUACUCAGGAGACAGGAUCUGCUACAGAACAGGUACAAGGAAGUGAGACGAAAACAGAUUCUGUUCAGGGGCCAAUUGAAGCUGGAGCUAAUCCUGAUGAACAAGACGUCGCCGAACAGAGUGUCGUUUACUGAAGAUCACGGUGACCAAAAUCAACUGAUUUGUGAUGGAUGGUGGUGUGCCUCAUCUUUGUAUAAUAUUGUGCUUGCCUGCUAGAGUACCUUGUGCCUGUAUUAUGUUAUGUGAUAUAUACUCCUGUUUGUUUUCCUGGAAUUGAGCCUUGUAUGCUGUUUAUCAAUCUAGAAAGCUUUUGUUCAUAAUCUACAGAGAUAUCCAAAUUGCCCAAAGUCAUUUGCAGUUGGUGGCAAAUGCAUUCAUCAUAACCUCCUAAUACAGCAAGUCCUAGCGGUAGUGCCUGCAAAUGAUAACAUCCUAAUUCUGCAGCCCUGAUUAAUGAGAUUUCAUUUCAAUAUCCAGGGCUCUAGGCCAUAGCAAGAGAAUACUGAACCUGAACUUGUGGUCUUGCACCAAUUUUUUUUUAAAAAAAACUUUUUGCCUGUGUACUUGAAACUGCUUCGUACCUUAGAACCUGUGCCUCCUAAUCCAAAUGUACCUUUUUAUUUUUCAGAAUUAACCCCUUCUGUGAUGAAGAAUCCCCUGAUCUAGUUAGGAUUGACAUUCUACUGAACUACUCACCGGAUUUCAGACUGAAUGACUAGCUCGAUGAGAACACCUCUAGAAAAUGCUGAUUAAAAGUAGUUUCAGGUUAUUUGCAGAAGUUUUUUUCCCCUCAUCAGGCGAGCUCACUAAUUGAUAAUUUGAACUUCGAUUGUGUACUGGAUAUUUGUCAUCUGCGUAACGUGCCUAUUUUUAUCCGCAGAAAGCUAGAGAGUGGGCAAAAUCAGCACUCCUACCUAAUGGCCUUGGAACUUGCCUGCUAAUCGAUGAGUGGCUGUGGCUCCUGUAGUCUGAGAUAUGCUGCCGGAUGGAGCUUGAACAGGUGCUCUCUUCAGUUUGUCAUGUGCAAUGCUAAGCUCCAGCGAACAGAGCAUCAUCGGUCGUUUCGAUGAUUGAAACCUCUUGGUGGUCACUUCGCUGUAUCGAGUGGAAUCAUUAGCUUCUUGUUCUCGUUUGUAUCAUUAGCUUCCUGUUCUCGUUCGCUGCCGAUGCAUCAUAAUUUGCUGUUAGCACGAAUCUGAAUCGCACGUGAACAACACGCAAAAAUAUGUAAUUGGUACAUACAAAUAAAAAUAGGUUUAAGAGCACUUACAAUGUGCAUUUUUAUUUUUACAAUUUCCAGAAUUUAACUUUUGGACAGUGUUUUCACGUAAUAUAUCAUUUUUAUAUAGCUACUAAUAUAGUUUUUUUUUGUACACUUGAUAUGCUUGCAAUUUAACUUUAUUUUCCUCAAAAAACAUAUGCUGUGACUAAACCUGACAGUGGGUUGAGAUCCAAACCAAACCCACACCAAUCCAAAACAUAUAUAUGUGAAAGUUAAAUCCAAACCAAAUUAGACCAUGACUUCAAUCAUCCACACCAAACCAAACCACUUAUGCGCUACACCCAUUAAAAUAUAUUUCCAACCCACCAUUUCACCGGCACCUCAUGCUAUUGUUUAUAUUUAGCCAUAAACAACAGCAAAAAAUAAAUAAAUAGAAUAAAAAAUUAUUAUAAACUCUAUUAUUUAGAGCCAAACCAGUUCAGCCCACUUUAAUAGGGCCCAAACCAAACUGGUCUAACAGUCUUUUCAGCCCGUUUCAAUCCAAACCAAUACAGCCUAAAAAUAAAACCAAACUAAAAAACCGGUUUUAACCUAAACCAUUGUCAGGUUUAGCUGUGACUUUUUCAAACAAAUUAUGCCUCGGACUUUCGAACAAACGGAC